rnacentral:rRNA from 1 species
GACGAACGCUGGCGGCGUGCUUAACACAUGCAAGUCGAACGGUGAAGCCCUUCGGGGUGGAUCAGUGGCGAACGGGUGAGUAACACGUGAGCAACCUGCCCCUGGCUCUGGGACAACCACUGGAAACGGUGGCUAAUACCGGAUACGACCCGCCUCGGCAUCGAGUGUGGGUGGAAAGUUUUUCGGCUGGGGAUGGGCUCGCGGCCUAUCAGCUUGUUGGUGAGGUGAAGGCUCACCAAGGCGACGACGGGUAGCCGGCCUGAGAGGGCGACCGGCCACACUGGGACUGAGACACGGCCCAGACUCCUACGGGAGGCAGCAGUGGGGAAUAUUGCUCAAUGGGCGAAAGCCUGAUGCAGCGACGCCGCGUGAGGGAUGACGGCCUUCGGGUUGUAAACCUCUUUCAGCUCCGAAGAAGCGAAAGUGACGGUAGGAGCAGAAGAAACACCGGCGAACUACGU